rnacentral:rRNA from 1 species
AUAGCGUAUAUUAAAGUUGUUGCAGUUAAAAAGCUCGUAGUUGAAUAUCUGGCCGGCACUGUACUGGCUCCCCGAGUCGGUGCAGUGCCUGGUUAUCCGUACGGGAAGCUAGCUCGGCCUUCACUGGUCGGCUAGUGGAUCGUACACUUUACUUUGAAAAAAUUAGAGUGUUUCAGGCAGGCAAUUGCUUGGAUACUGUAGCAUGGAAUAAUGGAAUAGGACUUUGACCUAUUUGUUGGUUUCUUCGAGGUCAAAGUAAUGAUUAAUAGGGAUUGUUGGGGGCAUUCGUAUUUAAUUGUCAGAGGUGAAAUUCUUGGAUUUUUUAAAGACGAACUUAUG